AGUGAACGCUGGCGGUAGGCCUAACACAUGCAAGUCGAACGGCAGCACAGUAAGAGCUUGCUCUUACGGGUGGCGAGUGGCGGACGGGUGAGGAAUACAUCGGAAUCUACUUUUUCGUGGGGGAUAACGUAGGGAAACUUACGCUAAUACCGCAUACGACCUACGGGUGAAAGCAGGGGAUCUUCGGACCUUGCGCGAUUGAAUGAGCCGAUGUCGGAUUAGCUAGUUGGCGGGGUAAAGGCCCACCAAGGCGACGAUCCGUAGCUGGUCUGAGAGGAUGGUCAGCCACACUGGAACUGGGACACGGUCCAGACUCCUACGGGAGGCAGCAGUGGGGAAUAUUGGACAAUGGGCGCAAGCCUGAUCCAGCCAUCCCGCGUGGGUGAAGAAGGCCUUCGGGUUGUAAAGCCCUUUUGUUGGGAAAGAAAAGCAGCAGGUUAAUACCCCGCUGUUCUGACGGUACCCAAAGAAUAAGCACCGGCUAACUUCGUG
rnacentral:rRNA from 1 species